UUUUCAUUUCAUGACAAUCCACUGUAUUUUCAUCUUUAAAAAGUUUGUGUAGUUUUGCCGCAGCUUGUGCAAAGGAUCUAUAUUUCUGUAUUUCUGCUGUAAAAUACAACACUUUCUGUUGUGUGGACCACCAAUUUGAUUCAGUAAGCACCUGUGAUAGACAUUUAAAUCUUGCAUGUUUAUGCAGCAUCCAAGUGUAUUGUUAGAUAAAUCCGUCACUACUGCAUCUCUGCAGUUAGAUGCUCCCAAAACACAGUUAUGGUUGUUUUAGAAAAAUGCAUAAAUGUUUCUUUCUGAAUCUAGCAGUAGGCAUCAAUUAAUAACCUAAAAGGGAAAGGCACUGCUUGGCAGGUGCUGGUAGUGCAGCCCAGGAAGCUUGCAUUUGCUUACCAAGAUGGUGCCUUUCAGAUUUUGUGGACUACAACUCCCAUCAUCCCUAGCCAUUAGCCAUGCUGGCUGGGGAUGAUGGGAGUUGACGGAAGGGUGCUUUUUGUUUUGUUCCUACUUAUAUCCUUUGAACCUUUGACCUACCUAUGCCCUUGGUAACUAUGGGCUAUGGGUGUGGUACCAGAAAUAGUCACUAUAUUUAACAAAGAUGUUAAUGUUUAUUGAGUACACAAACCUAUGUGGUUACUUUAAUAUGCUAUUGCCUCUUUUAAUUGGCAUACACUGUCUAACUUGUUGCUGUCACUUAAAUACAAAUUGCUUAUUUUGCACUACUAUUAGUAAACCAAGAAAAUGUUGAGGAAGCAGUUACCAUAUUUUUCACUCCAUAAGACGCACCUAGUUUUUAGAGGAAAACAAGGAAAAAAAUAUUCUGAACGAAACAGUAGAUGUAUGAUUUUUGUGGUUCAUGCGGUGGCCACAGACAUGUGAUUUGACAGUGAGUUUGGGGUAGCCCAAUGCAAAAAUCCUGAGGAUCCAUGUGGAUCCGUGCUUUGUAACCACGUUUUUGCGCCACUGCCGCCCCACGAAACAGUGGAUGCGUGAUUUUUGGUCAGACUAUAGUCAUGGACAUGUUAUGUGAUCUGAUGGUGAAUUUGGGGUGACCCAAUGCAAAAAUCCUGAGGAUCCAUGUGCUUUUAGCACCCCCUUCCCAGGCAGCCUCCUUUAUCGCUAGUGUCCCUUAUCUCCCUCCUGGUUGCUUGCCGAUCAGCUGCUCAGGGGCUUUUUUUAAACACCCCCUUCCCUCUUUCUAAAAAAAAGCAUGGUCUGCUUUUUGCCCCUGGGCAAUUCAGCUCCAGGGACCAUGCAUUUGCUCCAUAAGGCACACAGACAUUUCCCCUUACUUUUUAGGAGGAAAAAAGUGUGUCUUAUGGAGCAAAAAAUACGGUACUUAUACUGUUAAAACCCUUUUGCCAGACUGCCCUUAUAUUUUACGCCACCCCUAUUGAGACUUACCAAUGCUGUUAACUGAGGACUUUUGUUGAAGCCCCUGUCUCAACCCUCGCUGACCUCCCAGAGAUCUGUUUCUGCGAUAUUGUCCUGGAAUCUUCCUUUGGUUCUCUUACCAGACAUUCCAAACGUCCUCUCACUUCAUCUCCCUCACUUGCCCAAGCCAAGAGAUUCAGCUACCUAAGCAAAACCUUGGCCACCAAGCCACUCUGCCUUCCUUUCAGGUCUCCUUGCUUUUUCCUUGAUCAUCUGCUGCUGUUGUCUUCUUCUGGCUGUCCAACACAGACACCAAGCCCCAGCCAACACGGAUUGACUCAGACUGACUAGCACCCAGCCUUAUAUGCCCCACCCUGUCUAGCCCCCAACCAAUCACAUGGUCUAACUAAAUGUUCUAAACCUGCAACCACCAAUCAGAAUAGACAUACUCUCUAGCUUUCUUUUGCAUACUCAGAGUUCCAUCUAAAACUGCUCCUCAGAUGUCAGUUAAAGUCCUCCAGUGAUAGUUAAACCAACUCUCACCUGACUUAACAGAAGAUGUCCCCCCAUAUUACAUUACAAAACAAAUUACAUUAACAAAACAAAUAGACAUCAUAAGAGAAGUUCAAAUAAGCAGGAUAUAUUCAAGGGGUCCUGUGAAGGCACCAUGUGGGCUAGUCCUGUUAAAGAAACACUUCUUUAAUAUGAGAGGGUCAGUCGCAAAGUGCAAUAAUUAUUGAAAUUAUUCCCAUUCUAUUAAAGCAGAAAAGUUAAUAGUUAAGGUGCUCUCAUGCUUGAGUGGACUACAAACUUUAAAUGCAGUGUAUACUACAUAGAAUGAACCCAAGGGUAUGAAUAUAAAGUCAAAGAACCAACUAGGUGACACUGUGGACUAAAAACAGCAUUUGAGUAGGUAGAGAACUGUAAAUUAGCAAAAGAUUGAAGAUAGGGAAGAAAAGGUGGGGUGGAGAAUGGCAAAGAUGAGAAUCCUGAUUAACCAUGCUCUUUUUAUAGCCUUCUGACAGAACCAUCACAGGCCCCUUUUAUAGUUUUCUGCCACCUCUACACCCCUGCAGAUGUUGUUGAACUGCAAUUCCAUCAGCCCCGGCACCAGGGCAAAUAAACAAGAACUGUAGUCUAUAAUAUUGGAGGACACCAUAAUGAUUGCCACAUAUCUGGAAUGGUGCUACCACAUCCUCAUCGAACCCUCCAGGUGUACAACAGACUAAUCGUGUGAGGUGACAAAGACCUUGCCUAAGGCCACCAGACACAGCUGCCUCUAAUUCAAACCCAGCUCUUUCAACUCCAAAUGCAGUAUUUGGACAAAAAAUAGGUUUAAAAUAACUGAGGGUUCCCUGCUUCGGCUAGGGCCUGCUGAAAGGCCAUCCAUCGAAAGAGUCCCUACCUUCCUUGCCUUGCAAGUUUGCUCUGUAGGUUCCCAUAAAAAGUGUGAAUGUUGACCCUUCUUAAUCAUUCCAAGAAAUAAGGAUGGUUUAACUAAAACAGCAGGAAGCCAGCAAGUUUAUAAGCAAACAAUAGGAAAUGCUUGACUGUGAAGAGGACAUUUCCAAGAGGAGUGGAGAAGUUUGCAGCAACCCAGUGUACACCAUCUCUUCAUCAAUUGAUGAAGGUUCAUGCAUGUAAACAUGCUUUUUAGGGCAUUUGAGACAAGGGCUAGAAUCUGCUAUCUCCAUUUACGCUGAGUAGGCUUGUGGAAAUCAACUCUGUAUUCCAACCUCCUCGUUAGGAAGCAACCAUUCUGCUUGCCUUUCUUUGCAUAUGCAAAUCUGUCCCUCAAUUGAAGUGAGUGGAAGAGCCCCUACCAAUACAUAAGCACACUGGGUGUGAGGUUGGUGGGCUGGAGUUGAUACAUCAUGUGCUUUUCGUUCAUUUUAUCAAAAGCAGAACAAACAAUUGAAGGAUUUCCUGGAAAGACGGUUUUGGAAUUUGAACAUUAAUGCUGUUAAUUUCACCCUUGAUAGAACGGUUUAUAGUUUGAUUACAGGUCAGUAUUUGUGUGCCUUGUCCUCAUGUGUCCAUCUAAAACUCCAAAUAGAGGGUUGUGUCUAACGUUGGCGUAGACAACUGAAAUUAAUGGACAUUACUAAUUCCAGUCUAUUAUUUUCAAUGUGUUUAACUCAGCUGGAUACAACCCAAGGGAAUGACAUUGUGCUCUCUUGAGUGUUUCUCAUUAUGUCUAUUUAAAUAUACUUUUAAGCAAUCAGGAACAUCUCUAAUGAUAAUAGCACUGUCCGACAUUGAGUCUCAAGAAUAAAACGUCACAUGCAGACAUUCCCACUUGGCAAUGCAACUUUGUUUAUAUGGCCUAAAAACCCAACCUAGUAAUUAACUUUUACAGCAAAGAUGGCAUUUCUUCAGACAAGAGUGGGCUAGAGUAGCAGAACUGGAUCAUUAAUGAAAAUCUCUGACUUAACCAAAAUGGUCCAUUGCUUGCAAAAUAAAUGUUGUUUGUCACUCUCAUAGCACUUUCAAAACUUUUGAGAUUUUGAGUUUGUGUAUGUGUGUGUUUGAUAUACUACUGUCAAUCUCUUGUGCUCUCAAAAUUAUUAAAAGUCACACAGCCAUC